rnacentral:rRNA from 1 species
UGGGGAAUAUUGGACAAUGGGCGAAAGCCUGAUCCAGCCAUGCCGCGUGUGUGAAGAAGGUCUUCGGAUUGUAAAGCACUCUAAGUUGGGAGGAAGGGCAGUAAGCGAAUACCUUGCUGUUUUGACGUUACCGACAGAAUAAGCACCGGCUAACUCUGUGCCAGCAGCCGCGGUAAUACAGAGGGUGCAAGCGUUAAUCGGAAUUACUGGGCGUAAAGCGCGCGUAGGUGGUUCGUUAAGUUGAAUGUGAAAGCCCCGGGCUCAACCUGGGAACUGCAUCCAAAACUGGCGAGCUAGAGUAGGGCAGAGGGUGGUGGAAUUUCCUGUGUAGCGGUGAAAUGCGUAGAGAUAGGAAGGAACACCAGUGGCGAAGGCGACCACCUGGGCUCAUACUGACACUGAGGUGCGAAAGCGUGGGGAGCAAACAGG